AGUUUGAUCCUGGCUCAGGACAAACGCUGGCGGCGUGCCUAAUGCAUGCAAGUCGAACGCACCCGCUUCGGCGGGUGAGUGGCGCACGGCUGAGUAACACGUGGGAACCCGCCCCCCGGUGGGGGAUAACGCGACGAAAGUUGCGCUAAUCCCGCAUACGUCCGCAAGGAGAAAGCGCACCCGCGCGCCGGGGGAGGGGCCUGCGGCCCAUCAGGUCGUUGGUGGGGUAAGGGCCUACCAAGCCGAUGACGGGUAGCUGGUCUGGGAGGAUGACCAGCCAGACUGGGACUGAGACACGGCCCAGACUCCUACGGGAGGCAGCAGCAAGGAAUUUUCGGCAAUGGGCGCAAGCCUGACCGAGCAACGCCGCGUGCGGGAUGACGGCCUUCGGGUUGUAAACCGCUUUUCGGGGGGACGACCCUGACGGUACCCCCGGAACAAGCCCCGGCUAACUCUGUGCCAGCAGCCGCGGUAAGACAGAGGGGGCGAGCGUUGUCCGGAGUCACUGGGCGUAAAGCGCGCGCAGGCGGCAACCUAAGUGUCGUGUGAAAGCCCCCGGCUCAACCGGGGGAGGCCAUGGCAAACUGGGUCGCUCGAGCUGCGGAGAGGCCCCUCGAAUUGCCGGUGUAGCGGUGAAAUGCGUAGAGAUCGGCAGGAAGACCAAGGGGGAAGCCAGGGGGCUGGCCGCAGGCUGACGCUGAGGCGCGACAGCGUGGGGAGCAAACCGGAUUAGAUACCCGGGUAGUCCACGCCGUAAACGAUGACCACUCGGCGUGUGGCGACUAUUGACGUCGCGGCGCGCCCUAGCUCACGCGAUAAGUGGUCCGCCUGGGAACUACGAGCGCAAGCUUAAAACUCAAGGAAUUGACGGGGGCCCGCACAGCAGCGGAGCGUGUGG
rnacentral:rRNA from 1 species